rnacentral:rRNA from 1 species
GAUGAACGCUGGCGGCGUGCCUAAUACAUGCAAGUCGAGCGAACAGACGAGGAGCUUGCUCCUCUGACGUUAGCGGCGGACGGGUGAGUAACACGUGGAUAACCUACCUAUAAGACUGGGAUAACUUCGGGAAACCGGAGCUAAUACCGGAUAAUAUAUUGAACCGCAUGGUUCAAUAGUGAAAGACGGUUUUGCUGUCACUUAUAGAUGGUUCCGCGCCGCAUUAGCUAGUUGGUAAGGUAACGGCUUACCAAGGCAACGAUGCGUAGCCGACCUGAGAGGAUGAUCGGCCACACUGGAACUGAGACACGGACCAGACUCCUACGGGAGGCAGCAGUAGGGAAUCUUCCGCAAUGGGCGAAAGCCUGACGGAGCAACGCCGCGUGAGUGAUGAAGGUCUUCGGAUCGUAAAACUCUGUUAUUAGGGAAGAACAAAUGUGUAAGUAACUAUGCACGUCUUGACGGUACCUAAUCAGAAAGCCACGGCUAACUACGUG